rnacentral:rRNA from 1 species
UACGGAGGGUGCAAGCGUUAUCCGGAUUUAUUGGGUUUAAAGGGUGCGUAGGCGGCUUGUUAAGUCAGGGGUGAAAGUCGGUAGCUCAACUAUCGAAUUGCCUUUGAUACUGGCAGGCUUGAAUCAAGUUGAAGAGGGCGGAAUGUGACAUGUAGCGGUGAAAUGCUUAGAUAUGUCCCAGAACACCGAUUGCGAAGGCAGCUCUCUAAGCUUGCAUUGACGCUGAUGCACGAAAGCAUGGGGAUCAAAC